UACGGAGGGAGCUAGCGUUGUUCGGAAUUACUGGGCGUAAAGCGUGCGUAGACGGUUAUGUAAGUCGGGUGUGAAAGCCCCGGGCUCAACCUGGGAAUUGCAUUCGAGACUGCAUAGCUAGGGUGCGGAAGAGGGAAGCGGAAUUUCCGGUGUAGCGGUGAAAUGCGUAGAUAUCGGAAGGAACACCAGUGGCGAAAGCGGCUUCCUGGGCUAACACUGACGCUCAGGCACGAAAGCGUGGGGAGCAAACAGG
rnacentral:rRNA from 1 species